CAAACCCCUUGAUCCAUCUUAGUCCAAGUAGUCAAAAUAGGGCACAAAUCACCAACAAACAAGCAGAAAAUCUUAGGUUUCAGUUCUAUUUGCCGAGAAACAAUAUCCGUGAACUAAUAAAGACAUGCAAAGGAAAUCCAACAUAAUAUUCAAGACUUACUCUGUACUGUGUCCAUGACUGAGAACAGAAACUGUAGGAAGAAUUUGAGAAUAUCAUAAGAAUCAUAACUGAAUCUCAAACCCUCAAAAUCCCAGCAUAACAUAAGCUAAGGACAAUAAAUACUUCCUUCCCAAUCAUCAAACACUUAGGGUGUUGAUCUUUGUACAUGUGAAGCCAUCAAUUUAUCCAGCAAGAGCAAGCAUGCGAAGCUCACAUUCUUGUUGUCAAGUAAAAAAUUUGUACAUCUUAAACCUAACACUACCUAUUCAUUCCCAUCCACAAGCUGAUAAAACAACUCACUGAAAGAAUUGAGCAUGCUGAAGUCGCAAUCAAGAAGAAUUGGAAUUAAUGCUGAAAGCAGCAGUCAUAAAUAAUCUCUAUCUAUGCAGCCAAUGGGACCCCAGAGACAUAUAGAAGGCAAGCUCCAACUUAUCACCUUAAACUUGAUGUGUUCAUAACAAGAAAUUAUGGCCAACAUAUCAAAUAGAAGUUCUAUAAAUUCUUUCUUUUAAGUAAAAAAUUGUUAAAACUAUUUAGGAAGGUCUGUCCACAUAUUCUCAAAACAAUUAGGGAGUUUCUGGAACAACAUUCAAGCUCACACCAAGCUGAAUAAAAUAACGAUUAGGGCAUAGGGAAACUAGAAAUUAAUCUUUAUCAAAUAAUUGCUAAAGUUAAUGGACCAAAUUCUUUUUAGAUAAUGGAGUCUUUGGAAAAGUAAGUGCAAGCUCAUAGCCAAGCAUUACAGAGCAGACCACUAAAUUACCGAUAUUAUGAAAUGAUCUCACUAUGCUCCAUGGUAUGAUUUCUCAAAACACUGGAAUCAAGGAAAGGCACUAAAAAUCAUAACAACAUUCACUCAAGGAAUCUACUAACAUAAAAAAGAGCGAAUCGAAUAUUAGAAGGCCCUACUGUGUGUCUCCACAAGCCCUCCACAAUCAAUCAAUAUUAGUCCAUUCAUAGAAUCCUGAAAAAUUACAACUAGCUCU
rnacentral:misc_RNA from 1 species